GACGAACGCUGGCGGCGUGCCUAAUGCAUGCAAGUCGAACGCACUGCCUUCGGGCAGUGAGUGGCGCACGGCUGAGGAACACGUGGGAAUCUGCCCGACCGUGGGGGAUAACACGCCGAAAGGCGUGCUAAGCCCGCAUACGCUCGCAAGAGGAAAGCGGCAACGCGCGGUCGGAGGAGCCUGCGGCCCAUCAGGUAGUCGGCGGGGUAACGGCCCACCGAGCCGGUGACGGGUAGCUGGUCUGUGAGGACAGACAGCCAGACUGGGACUGAGACACGGCCCAGACUCCUACGGGAGGCAGCAGCAAGGAAUUUUCGGCAAUGGGCGCAAGCCUGACCGAGCAACGCCGCGUGGAGGACGACGGCC
rnacentral:rRNA from 1 species